GUUUCAUUUAAAAUUUAUAUAGAAUUUUAUUUUUUAGUUAAAAAGCUAAAAUAUGAUCAAAAGACGAGAAGACCCUAUAAAUCUUAAUUAUUUAAUAAUUUUUAAUUUAUUUUGGUUUUUUUUGUUAUAAAUUUAUUAAAUAAUUUUAUUGGGGUGAUAUUAAAAUUUAAAUAACUUUUAAUAAUUUUUGUCAUUUAUUUAUGAUUAAGUGAUCCAUUAUUAGUGAUUAGAAAAUUAAGUUACUUUAGGGAUAACAGCGUAAUUUUUUUGGAGAGUUCUUAUCGAUAAAAAAGUUUGCGACCUCGAUGUUGGAUUAAGAUUCAUAUUUAAAUGUAGAAGUUUAAAUAUUAAGUCUGUUCGACUUUUUAUUCUUACAUGAUCUGAGUUCAAACCGGUGUAAGCCAGGUUGGUUUCUAUCUUUGAUUUAAUAAAAUAUUUUAGUACGAAAGGAAUUAAUAUUUAUUUUUAGGAAAUUAUUUUAUGAAU
rnacentral:rRNA from 1 species